AUAUCAAUAAGCGGAGGAAAAGAAACCAACAGGGAUUGCCCCAGUAACGGCGAGUGAAGCGGCAACAGCUCAAAUUUGAAAUCUGGCCCCUCUCGGGGUCCGAGUUGUAAUUUGUAGAGGAUGCUUUUGGCGAGGCGCCGCCCGAGUUCCCUGGAACGGGACGCCACAGAGGGUGAGAGCCCCGUCUGGCUGGCCGCCGAGCCUCUGUAAAGCUCCUUCGACGAGUCGAGUAGUUUGGGAAUGCUGCUCAAAAUGGGAGGUAUAUGUCUUCUAAAGCUAAAUACUGGCCAGAGACCGAUAGCGCACAAGUAGAGUGAUCGAAAGAUGAAAAGCACCUUGAAAAGAGGGUUAAAUAGUACGUGAAAUUGUUGAAAGGGAAGCGCUUGUGACCAGACUUGGGCGCGGCGGAUCAUCCGGGGUUCUCCCCGGUGCACUUCGCCGCGUCCAGGCCAGCAUCAGUUCGUCGCGGGGGAUAAAGGCUUCGGGAACGUGGCUCCUCCGGGAGUGUUAUAGCCCGUUGCAUAAUACCCUGCGGUGGACUGAGGACCGCGCAUCUGCAAGGAUGCUGGCGUAAUGGUCACCAGCGACCCGUCUUGAAACACGGACCAAGGAGUCGUCUUCGUAUGCGAGUGUUCGGGUGUCAAACCCCUACGCGUAAUGAAAGUGAACGCAGGUGAGAGCUUCGGCGCAUCAUCGACCGAUCCUGAUGUUCUCGGAUGGAUUUGAGUAAGAGCAUACGGGGCCGGACCCGAAAGAAGGUGAACUAUGCCUGUAUAGGGUGAAGCCAGAGGAAACUCUGGUGGAGGCUCGCAGCGGUUCUGACGUGCAAAUCGAUCGUCAAAUAUGGGCAUGGGGGCGAAAGACUAAUCGAACCUUCUAGUAGCUGGUUUCCGC
rnacentral:rRNA from 1 species